rnacentral:rRNA from 1 species
AUACGAAAGGUGCAAGCGUUGUUCGGAUUUACUGGGCGUAAAGAGAGUGUAGGUGGUUUAUUAAGUCGGAUGUGAAAUCCCGGGGCUCAACCUCGGAACUGCAUUCGAUACUGAUAGGCGAGAGUUUGGGAGGGGUAAGCGGAAUUCCGUGUGUAGCAGUGAAAUGCGUAGAUAUACGGAGGAACACCUGAGGCGAAGGCGGCUUACUGGACCAAUACUGACACUGAGACUCGAAAGCGUGGGUAGCAAACAGGAUUAGAAACCCUAGUAGUCC